UAAUACAUGCAAGUCGAACGCGUCUCCGUUAAUGAUUUUAGGUGCUUGCACUUGAAAGAUUUAACAUUGAGACGAGUGGCGAACUGGUGAGUAACACGUGGGUAACCUGCCCUUGAAGUAGGGGAUAACACUUGGAAACAGGUGCUAAUACCGUAUAACAACCAAAACCACCUGGUUUUGGUUUAAAAGACGGCUUCGGCUGUCACUUUAGGAUGGACCCGCGGCGUAUUAGCUUGUUGGUAAGGUAACGGCCUACCAAGGCGAUGAUACGUAGCCGACCUGAGAGGGUAAUCGGCCACAUUGGGACUGAGACACGGCCCAAACUCCUACGGGAGGCAGCAGUAGGGAAUCUUCCACAAUGGACGAAAGUCUGAUGGAGCAACGCCGCGUGAGUGAUGAAGGGUUUCGGCUCGUAAAACUCUGUUGUUGGAGAAGAACAGGUGUCAGAGUAACUGUUGACAUCUUGACGGUAUCCAACCAGAAAGCCACGGCUAACUACGUGCCAGCAGCCGCGGUAAUACGUAGGUGGCAAGCGUUGUCCGGAUUUAUUGGGCGUAAAGCGAGCGCAGGCGGUUUUUUAGGUCUGAUGUGAAAGCCUUCGGCUUAACCGGAGAAGUGCAUCGGAAACCGGGAGACUUGAGUGCAGAAGAGGACAGUGGAACUCCAUGUGUAGCGGUGAAAUGCGUAGAUAUAUGGAAGAACACCAGUGGCGAAGGCGGCUGUCUGGUCUGUAACUGACGCUGAGGCUCGAAAGCAUGGG
rnacentral:rRNA from 1 species